AGAGUUUGAUCCUGGCUCAGGAUGAACGCUAGCUACAGGCUUAACACAUGCAAGUCGAGGGGCAGCAUUUUAGUUUGCUUGCAAACUAAAGAUGGCGACCGGCGCACGGGUGAGUAACACGUAUCCAACCUGCCGGUAACUCGGGGAUAGCCUUUCGAAAGAAAGAUUAAUAUCCGAUAGCAUAUUGAGAUCGCAUGAUUUUGAUAUUAAAGAUUUCGGUAUCGAUGGGGAUGCGUUCCAUUAGUUGUUGGCGGGUAACGGCCACCAAGGACAACGAUGGAUAGGGGUUNUCCGGAGAGGAAGGUCCCCACAUUGGAACUGAGACACGGUCCAAACUCCUACGGAGGCA
rnacentral:rRNA from 1 species